rnacentral:rRNA from 1 species
UACGUAGGAUCCAAGCGUUAUCCGGAAUUACUGGGCGUAAAGCGUACGUAGGUGGGGAUUUAAGUGAGAUGCGAAAUCUGGCGGCUCAACCGUCAAACUGUGUCUCAUACUGGGUUCCUUGAGGUUGGCAGAGGCAAGUGGAAUUUCCGGUGUAGCAGUGAAAUGCGUAGAGAUCGGAAGGAACGACCAAUGGCGAAGGCAGCUUGCUGGGCCACACCUGACACUGAGGUACGAAAGCGUGGGGAGCGAACAGG